rnacentral:rRNA from 1 species
CCUACGGGCGGCAGCAGUGAGGAAUAUUGGUCAAUGGCCGUAAGGCUGAACCAGCCAAGUCGCGUGAGGGAAGACUGCCCUAUGGGUUGUAAACCUCUUUUAUGCGGGGAUAAAGGUGUCCACGUGUGGAUGUUUGCAGGUACCGCAUGAAUAAGGACCGGCUAAUUCCGUGCCAGCAGCCGCGGUAAUACGGAAGGUUCGGGCGUUAUCCGGAUUUAUUGGGUUUAAAGGGUGCGUAGGCCGGUCUUUAAGUGUGACGUGAAAUUUUGUGGCUCAACCAUGGGAGUGCCGCGCGACCUGGAGGCCUUGAGUGCGCGGGAGGCAGGCGGAAUACGUGGUGUAGCGGUGAAAUGCUUAGAUAUCACGAAGAACCCCGAUUGCGAAGGCAGCCUGCCACAGCGUUACUGACGCUGAAGCUCGAAAGCGUGGGUAGCGAACAGGAUUAGAUACCCUUGUAGUC